GGGCCCGUAGCCUAGCGGUUAAGGCAGUCGGCUCAUAACUGAUUGAUCGUAGGUUCGAAUCCUACCGGGCCCACCC
rnacentral:tRNA from 1 species